AGAGUUUGAUCAUGGCUCAGAUUGAACGCUGGCGGCAGGCCUAACACAUGCAAGUCGAGCGGUAACAGACAUUUUGAUUUUGCUUGCAAAAUCUCGUGCUGACGAGCGGCGAACGGGUGAGUAACGCGUAGGAAUCUACCUAGUAGAAGGGGAUAGCCCGAGGAAACUCGGAUUAAUACCGUAUACGUCCUUAGGGAGAAAGAGGGCUUAGCUUUGAAGCUCUCGCUACUAGAUGAGCCUGCGUAAGAUUAGCUUGUUGGUGAGGUAAAAGCUCACCAAGGCGACGAUCUUUAGCUGGUCUGAGAGGACGAUCAGCCACAUUGGGACUGAGACACGGCCCAGACUCCUACGGGAGGCAGCAGUGGGGAAUAUUGGACAAUGGGCGCAAGCCUGAUCCAGCCAUGCCGCGUGUGUGAAGAAGGCCUUCGGGUUGUAAAGCACUUUAAGUAAGGAGGAAAAGAUUGUAGUUAAUACCUGCAAUCCGUGACGUUACUUACAGAAUAAGGACCGGCUAAUUCCGUGCCAGCAGCCGCGGUAAUACGGAAGGUCCAAGCGUUAAUCGGAAUUACUGGGCGUAAAGCGCGCGUAGGUGGUUUGUUAAGUUGGAUGUGAAAGCCCUGGGCUCAACCUAGGAACUGCAUCCAAAACUAACUCACUAGAGUACGAUAGAGGGAGGUAGAAUUCAUAGUGUAGCGGUGGAAUGCGUAGAUAUUAUGAAGAAUACCAGUGGCGAAGGCGGCCUCCUGGAUCUGUACUGACACUAAGGUGCGAAAGCGUGGGUAGCGAACAGGAUUAGAUACCCUGGUAGUCCACGCCGUAAACGAUGACAACUAGCUGUUGGGAGACAAUGUCUUUCAGUGGCGCAGCUAACGUUUUAAGUUGUCCGCCUGGGGAGUACGGCCGCAAGGCUAAAACUCAAAUGAAUUGACGGGGACCCGCACAAGCGGUGGAGCAUGUGGUUUAAUUCGAUGCAACGCGAAAAACCUUACCUACACUUGACAUACUUCGAAUUUUCUAGAGAUAGAUUAGUGCCUUCGGGAACGGAGAUACAGAAUGGGAGGCCUAAAAAUAUAGAAACUAUAUUUAAAGCAAUCAAAUAAUUAUAUUGAAUAUUAUUAAAUAGGGACUCAAGAUCAUAGGUAUACUUAAAUAUUACAGCAAAAAAAUAAACCCCUAAAUAGGUAAAAAAUAUUUUAAAAAUUACUGAUUUAAAAUUUAGAUCUUUUUUAUUCAUAUGAGAUGAACAUUAAUGAUGAUUAUCAAAAACGUAGAGGGCAAAUAACAUCUUUUCUUACAGGGGAAUUAUAGAACCAAACAGGAAAUAUUUAGCAAGUAACUCACUUUAUCCACUAUCAAAUUUAAUUUAUAGGGAAUACUUGAGGAAACACAUGAAAGUUAAUAGAGGAAAUG
rnacentral:rRNA from 1 species